GACAGAGGAGCCAAGCGUUGUCCGGAUUGACUGGGCGUAAAGCGCACGCAGGCGGUUGCGCGCGUGGGGUGUGAAAGCUGGUGGCUUAACUGCCAAAUGCCAUCCCAUACGGCGCGACUCGAGCCCGUGAGAGGUCCACGGAAUUGCCGGUGUAGUGGUGAAAUGCGUAGAGAUCGGCAGGAACACCCAGGGGGAAACCAGUGGACUGGCACGGUGCUGACGCUCAGGUGCGAAAGCGUGGGGAGCGAACCGG
rnacentral:rRNA from 1 species